GAUCCUUCAAUGAUUUAAUUGAAUUAAUUAAUCACUGUUACUUUAAAAAGUCAACGAAAAAAGGUUAAUUUAUUGUUUCUAUCAUUUGAUAUGAAAAUGGUGGCAAAAAAUUAUCAUCAAAAAUGAAUUCUGAAAUGAAUCAUGAAAAACAAAACAGAAAUGAUAAAACUUCCGUCAUCAGUCAUCAUAAUAAUGAUUAUUCAAUCAAAGAGGCCUUCUAAUCAAUUUAAGAGGUUCAACAGUUGAUAAACAAUUGAUCAGUAGCCGCAAAUUAAUAGAUUAACAAGAAAACAAAACAAUUGUUCGAGGUUAAUCAAUUAAUAUUAGUUACAAUGUUUCGAUGAAGAGCAAAAUAUUUCCGGCAAAUGUCAACACACGGGAUGACAAUAUUGUCCCGUUUUUUGAGCAGAUUACAUUGAUACUUAAUGGCGUACUUGUACUUACAUUAGCUAAUACCAAUCAACAAUUAAUUGUGAUUAGAUUUAAUUUACAAUUAGAAAAGUAAAUUUGAAGAAAACCCAAAACCAGAAAAAUCACAGAUUUGAUAUCGAGAAGAGACGAAGCGCAAAAAAACAGAUUUAAAGGUAACAACAAUGUCAAUAUACCAGGUCAUUGUUGGCAACAUCUUAAGAAAGGUUAAAUUGCCGUUCUAUUUCCGUUCACAUUAAUAUGUUACCUUUUUACCUUCCGUUGGAAGGUUGGCCUUAAAAAAAUUUAAAGUUCCCCAAGAAAGGAGUCGAGAAAUAAAAAGAUGCAAAAAAGAUGAAGAUCAAAGAUGGAAAUCAAGAAGGGAAAAGACCAAAAUGACUGGCAUAGGAAAUCGCUCAAGACCCAGUAACGGGGGCGGACUCAGCGCUGUGCCCUUCAUCAUCCUCAUCAUCAUCAUCAUCGUCUUCGUCAUCAUUUGUUGAAUGUUUAAAGGCAUUUUCCGUACCAGUUGAGUCUCUCUGUAACUUUAAGGCAAAGACCCAAAAGAGGGAAGAUGGCAUCUGUUUCCGGAAGAAAAGGGAAAAAGGGAAAGAAGAGGCCAAGAAGAUGAUGAAGAUGAAGAUGAUAAAAGGUAAAGGCCACUUUCCCCGUUCCAAUCUAAUCGCAAUAAAAAAAAGAGAAAAGAUGAAAAUGACAAAAAAAAGGUUUUACAAAUGCAUAUUUACACACUUAUGGAUAUGUACCUUUGAUAAAAGCUUGGUUAGGUAAUGAAACAUCCCGAAUUUUGGCCUUACAACGGAAACGUCACGUGAUUCUUGUUCGUCUUCUUAAUUCUCUUCUCUGUCUAAUUUUACUGUCUAAAUUUGUAGACUUUUUUACCAUUUAAUUCAUCAUCGCUUUUUUUAUGCACAUCUCAAUAACUAUUAUUAUCAUUGUUACAGCAUUACUAUAAGUCCAUAUGGAUGAUACUGAUGCUGAAAUCCUUAUGUUAAAAUGACAAAAGUGACAUUGAAAUGUCCCAAGGAUGAAUAACACUAAUUAUAAUUGAAAUUUAAUUAUAUUUAUUAAUAUUAAUACCAAAGGCCUCAUCAUACCUCAACACAUAUGAUUUUGCCUUUGCCUUUAUAUUGAAACAUUGGACACAAUCUGACGGUAAAUUUGAAUUAAUUAGUUGAUAACCAAUUAAAUAACUUGUAAAUAAA